CAGUCGCCGCGGGAAUACAGAGGGUGCAAGCGUUAAUCGGAAUUACUGGGCGUAAAGCGCGCGUAGGUGGUUUGUUAAGUUGGAUGUGAAAUCCCCGGGCUCAACCUGGGAACUGCAUCCAAAACUGGCAAGCUAGAGUAUGGUAGAGGGUGGUGGAAUUUCCUGUGUAGCGGUGAAAUGCGUAGAGAUCUGGAGGAAUACCGGUGGCGAAGGCGGCCCCCUGGACAAAGACUGACGCUCAGGUGCGAAAGCGUGGGGAGCAAACAGGAUUAGAUACCCGAGUAGUCCCUGUCUCUUAUAC
rnacentral:rRNA from 1 species